UUGAAAGUAUGUAUAAAUGACUGUUUCCUUGGGUGUUUGGAGCAUUUUUUAACUUGUGGAUUCCAAACAGUUUUUUUAUAAAAUAAGAGUACCUAUUAUCUUUGUCAAAGCAGGUUAAAUGUUGGGUCUGUAGGAUAUUGACCAUGGUAUUGUGUGCCUGGCUGUGUUUCCAAUCAAUAAGCAAUUACUCUGACUCCUUAUUUUCAGAUACUGCUCAAGACUAAGGAACAAAAAGUAAGCCCAAGGGAUAUUGCUGAGAAGAUUGCCAGAAAUAUUCCAAACAAUGAUUGCAUUGAGAAAAUUGAAAUUGCUGGACCUGGUUUCAUCAAUGUACACUUGAAGAAAGAUUUUGUAUCCAGACAGCUGAGCAGUGUGCUAAUGAAUGGAGUUCAACCACCCGCUUGUGAAAGAAAAAAGGUGAACUAUAAAUGGCUGUUGAUAUCUUAUCUUGUCCAAUAAGUUCAUUUUGGCUUUGCCAAAAUUGAAUGUUUUUUUAAAUAUGUUGUUUUAUUUGAGCCUCUGUACAAACACUUUCAUAACAAUGAAACAGGUCUUUCAUAGUAUUCCAGGAAAGAGAGCUAGUGACAGAAAAAUCAGCUCAUGCUUAUAAGCAUAGAAGAAUAUCUGUGACCUCCUUUAGAUUUUGAUCCAGAUUAAAAAUACAAGCUUCCAAAAAUUCUGUCCUUUUAAAUAUAAAAUUGUGUUAUUUUCUUUUCAAAGGAACAUUUGUACAAAACACAUAAUUUAUGUAGAACCUGAACAUACAGUAUGUAUUUCGUUUAUUUGAUUUUUAUCCCACCUUUUUUAUAGAUAAGGUGGCAAACAUACAUAAACUCUUCUCCCAUUUUCCUCACAUGGACAACCCUGUGAAGAAAUUGGUCUGAGAGAUGAUGAUUUGGUCCAACGUCACUCAGCCAGCUUUUAUGCCCAAGGCAGGACUAGGACUCACAGUCUCUUGGUUUCUAGGCCAGCAUCUUAACCGCUACACCAAACAAGUUGUAUAUGUUGUCUGGUUAGUGCAUACAUGGACUCCACAGAUAA